rnacentral:rRNA from 1 species
GCUUACGGCCAUACCAACCUGGCUAUGCUCGAUCUCGUCUGAUCUCGGAAGCUAAGCAGGUUUGGGCCUGGUUAGUACUUGGAUGGGAGACCGCCUGGGAAUACCAGGUGCUGUAAGCU